UAAUAUAAUAUUUUGCAUAUUAUUUUACAAACAAAUCUAAAUUAACAUAUAUAAAAUAUAUAUUUUUGCUGAGAUUUGAUGUUGUGACAAUUUUGCGCCGUGAUUACGCAAUGACGUCAUCGCGCAAUGACAUCACAACAUCAUUUAGCAACUUUUAGCAACAAAUCGACCUUCCUUUAGCAACUUUCUCUGAAAAUUAGUUGGCAACACUGAUCUCUAUGGCAGUUGCUCAUUUAGCAGAAGCCCCAUAGUGGUGUGUUGUGCUGAGUGUAGUAACGAUUAUAUUUGGGUAACAUAAAUGUAUGUAUAGAUGGGUUUGUGUUAUUUAGGUCAGACAGUAGUUCAUUGGGUUGUCAAACUGAGCUAAUAAUUGUUCUGUAAUUUAGUUAAUUCACACUUAAUGCUCCUUAAUUUUUAUAUUAAUUGUAAUUGAAUUUUUUAGAUCAUAGUGGUGUGAAAACUGAAAUGUGUUUUAGUAAAGACAAGAAACUUGUUGAAAGAGUGUUUUACAGGCAUUUAACUUUUUGUUCCUGGUCUCAUGCGUGAUUGAUACUAAAUUAUGAGGAAGUAUCCAUAAGAAGUGAAGCAUAUGAAUGCUUUCAUUAUUCAGACUGAUUUUCAAACAGCACUAGAAGAACAACACAGAGAUGAGGACACUCGGACUUGGACUUGUCCUGGUGGGCUUUGCUUUUUGUUGUGUCUCGUCUAAAGAUGUUUAUGUGUUCCAGGACAUCGAUGAAUGCGAGUUUAGCAAAGAGGAUUUGUCUGACAUGAUCUACACAGUGAAGCUGGUCUUCAACCAAAAGCUUCUCUGCAUUUAUGACUCGAGGUUGGGCAAGUAUGUUGGUUUCGAUGAGUAUGGGAUCAAAAAUGCUGAGCAUUACAACAAUCAGAGCUGGAAGAUGAAAGAGCGGAAGGAGCAGGUGGAAACACUGUGUAGAGCUAAUGCCAGACUUUAUAUCAAAAGUGAAGCAAGAAAGGUGCCGCCCGUUGUUACGGUACGCUCCAAUAGUAAGGCUCGUUACGGUCAGCUGACCACGCUGGAGUGCCAUGCGUUCGAUUUCUACCCCCAGGCCAUCAACGUCACCUGGCUGCUGGACGGAUCAGAGGUCACUGGAGACGUGGUCUCUACUGAAUUCAUGGAUAAUGGCGACUGGAGCUACCAGAUGCACUCAUACCUGGAGCUGGUGCUUCACAGAGGAGUGACGGUGAGCUGCCGAGUGGAGCACAGCGGUCUGGAGGAGCCUGUCCUCGUUCUGUGGGACUCCACCUCUCUCGAUACCAGAUUCAUAAAGUUAGCUGUGGGUUGCUCUUUUUUCCUUAUCGGCCUUGUCGUGGCUCUUUCUCCUGCAUUCUGGCACUACAAGAAACAGCACAGAGGUUUUACCUCUCUUGCCCUCCAUUGAGAGCUGUUUUUAUGAUGUUAAGGGUGGAACCAUUGAACGUCCACUCUGCUUUUGCAUGUACGCUGGUUUGUGUUUCAGAGCACAGGUGCAGUGCAGAGC